GAUGAACGCUAGCGGGAGGCCUAACACAUGCAAGCCGAGCGGUAUUUCUUCUUCGGGAGAGAGAGAGCGGCGUACGGGUGCGGAACACGUGUGCAACCUGCCUUUAUCUAGAGGAUAGCCUUUCGAAAGGAAGAUUAAUACUCUAUAAUAUAUUAAUUGGCAUCAAUUGAUAUUGAAAACUCCGGUGGAUAGAGAUGGGCACGCGCAAGAUUAGCUAGUUGGUGAGGUAACGGCUCACCAAGGCAAUGAUCUUUAGGGGGCCUGAGAGGGUGAUCCCCCACACUGGUACUGAGACACGGACCAGACUCCUACGGGAGGCAGCAGUGAGGAAUAUUGGUCAAUGGGUGCAAGCCUGAACCAGCCAUCCCGCGUGAAGGAUUAAGGUCCUAUGGAUUGUAAACUUCUUUUGUAUAGGGAUAAACCUACUCUCGUGAGGGUAGCUGAAGGUACUAUACGAAUAAGCACCGGCUAACUUCGUGCCAGCCGCCGCAGUAAAAC
rnacentral:rRNA from 1 species